rnacentral:rRNA from 1 species
UACGGGGGCAGCAAGCGUUGUUCGGAUUUACUGGGCGUAAAGGGCGCGUAGGCGGCCAGCACAAGUCAGUUGUGAAAUCUCCGAGCUUAACUCGGAAAGGUCAACUGAUACUGUGCGGCUAGAGUGCGGAAGGGGCAACUGGAAUUCUUGGUGUAGCGGUGAAAUGCGUAGAUAUCAAGAGGAACACCUGCGGCGAAGGCGGGUUGCUGGGCCGACACUGACGCUGAUGCGCGAAAGCCAGGGGAGCGAACGGG